UUAACAUAAACCAAAUGAUUCACAGGAUUGCUGCAGAAGACAGAAGGAGCAACUGUGUGAAAAAUUUGAUUAUCUAUAUUCAGUACUGGAAGAAAGAAAAAAUGAAAUGACACAAAUAAUCACUAGAAGCCAAGAGGAGAAGUUGGAACAUGUCCGUUCCUUAAUGAAAAAGUAUGCAGACCACUUGGAGGCUGUGUCAAAGCUUGUUGAAUCAGGAAUCCAGUUCAUGGAAGAACCAGAAAUGGCUGUGUUUUUGCAGAAUGCCAAAACGUUGCUUCAAAAAAUUACUGAAGCAUCAAAAGCAUUUCAAAUGGAAAAAAUAGUGCCUGACUAUGAAAAUAUGAGCCAUUUCACUGUAAACCUAACUAGAGAAGAAAAGAUUAUAAGAGAAAUCGACUUUUACAGAGAGGAGGACGGGGAUGAGGAAGAUGAGGAGCUCGGGGAAGGUGAAGAGUUUGAUGAAGUCCACACAGAGUCAUCUGGGGAGGAAGAAGGGGUAGCUGAGAAUAUAUCCCAGCACCCUCAGCUGGAUGCAGAACCCAAGAGCACACUAGGCGGACCUCAGGCUCCACCAGACCCAUCCUUUACACCAGCUGCUUCUGUUAAUGAGGAUCAGGUUGUGCCAGGUGGUUCUCAGCAGACUGCAGAGUCUGAUAUUCAAGUGCCAUCAACAGCAGAAACUGCCGACCCUUUCCUUUACCCUAGUUGGUAUAAGGCCCAGUCACGGCAAGCAAGCACCCCAAAUGCAACCCAAAUACAUGAGGGAUUGAAUAAAGUAGGGCCUUCUGCUUCUCUGGAAAUGAAUGUAAAGAAGGCAGAUGCUACAGAAGCAACAACAACCAAUGAGAAUGCACCUGGGAGUGGUAAGGAAACUACAGCAACUUCUGAGGGGUUAGCAUUCUGCAUAUCAGUUUUGGUUUUUCUUAUCAUGCUACAUCACCUCUGGCGUCAGAUUCACUACAUGAUUUUUGCUUUAAUGGAUGGACCAGCACUUAAACAUUGGCCUCUCUGGCUACAGAUGUUGAAAUGCCCAUUGACAAUGGGCUAGUUAUGACUUUGCUUGCAUACAGUAUUAUCUCACUGCUCAACCUCCCUGACUUAAAAACAAACUGGGUCUGAAUUAUCCCCACAAGGACAAAUGAGCAGAGCUCCAGCAACCAGUGAAAGAGUUGAUGAGCCGGCUCGUCAUGUCUUCUCUUUCCCCUGGUUAAACUCAUUGAAGGAAUGAGGACUCUCAUUCCAGUGUACUUUUCUGAGAGGAACUGAGGCAACAAGCAACCUGGCUGGAAUCGACAAGAUAUUGUCAGGAAAAGGAACAAGUGAUCGGGUUUCAUUCAAAGGGACUUAUUGCACCAAAUGAGAUUCAGCCAAACUGUUUGACAUUUUGAGGUUAAGGGGUAUUGUUGAGAAUUAAGCUGAAUAAAGGGAUGGGAAAAAUUGGACUCAGUGGUUAAUUAAUCCUGUAAUAAAUUGGAUAUGUGUGCAAGUCCAUUUCAAAGGAGAAGUGUUGAGCAGAACCAUGUUACUGUUGCAGAUGUAAAGGAGCACUGUUAAACUUUAUCAUUUAUUUA